CUUGCUGUUUCGCUGACGAGUGGCGGACGGGUGAGUAAUGUCUGGGAAACUGCCUGAUGGAGGGGGAUAACUACUGGAAACGGUAGCUAAUACCGCAUAACGUCGCAAGACCAAAGAGGGGGACCUUCGGGCCUCUUGCCAUCGGAUGUGCCCAGAUGGGAUUAGCUAGUAGGUGGGGUAACGGCUCACCUAGGCGACGAUCCCUAGCUGGUCUGAGAGGAUGACCAGCCACACUGGAACUGAGACACGGUCCAGACUCCUACGGGAGGCAGCAGUGGGGAAUAUUGCACAAUGGGCGCAAGCCUGAUGCAGCCAUGCCGCGUGUAUGAAGAAGGCCUUCGGGUUGUAAAGUACUUUCAGCGGGGAGGAAGGGAGUAAAGUUAAUACCUUUGCUCAUUGACGUUACCCGCAGAAGAAGCACCGGCUAACUCCGUGCCAGCAGCCGCGGUAAUACGGAGGGUGCAAGCGUUAAUCGGAAUUACUGGGCGUAAAGCGCACGCAGGCGGUUUGUUAAGUCAGAUGUGAAAUCCCCGGGCUCAACCUGGGAACUGCAUCUGAUACUGGCAAGCUUGAGUCUCGUAGAGGGGGGUAGAAUUCCAGGUGUAGCGGUGAAAUGCGUAGAGAUCUGGAGGAAUA
rnacentral:rRNA from 1 species